UACCGCACCGAAUGUAGGUCGCUCUGGACAAGAGUGUCUGCUAAAUGACUUAAA
rfam:Salmo salar isolate Sally breed double haploid chromosome ssa15, whole genome shotgun sequence.